UACGUAGGGGACAAGCGUUGUCCGGAAUUAUUGGGCGUAAAGAGCGUGUAGGCGGCCAGAUAAGUCCGCUGUGAAAUCUCGAGGCUCAACUUCGAGCUGUCGGUGGAAACUAUCUGGCUAGAGUCCGGAAGAGGAGAAUGGAAUUCCUGGUGUAGCGGUGAAAUGCGCAGAUAUCAGGAAGAACACCCGUGGCGAAGGCGGUUCUCUGGGACGGUACUGACGCUGAGGCACGAAGGCCAGGGGAGCAAACGGG
rnacentral:rRNA from 1 species